rnacentral:rRNA from 1 species
AUUGAACGCUGGCGGCAGGCCUAACACAUGCAAGUCGAGCGGAGCGGCGGACGGGUGAGUAAUGCCUAGGAAUCUGCCUGGUAGUGGGGGAUAACGUCCGGAAACGGGCGCUAAUACCGCAUACUAUCAGAUGAGCCUAGGUCGGAUUAGAUAGUUGGUGGGGUAAAGGCCUACCAAGGCGACGAUCCGUAACUGGUCGAAGAGGAGGAUCAGCCACACUGGAACUGAAACACGGUCCAGACUCCUACGGGAGGCAGCAGUGGGGAAUAUUGGACAAUGGGCAAAGGCCUAAGCCAGCCGGGCGGCGUGUGUGAAGAAGGUCUUCGGAUUGUAAACCACUUUAAGUUGGGAGGCGUUACCAACAGAAUAAGCAACGGCUAACUUCGUGCCAGCAGCCGCGGUAAUUC